rnacentral:rRNA from 1 species
UACGGAGGGUGCAAGCGUUGUCCGGAUUCAUUGGGUUUAAAGGGUGCGCAGGCGGGACAUUAAGUCAGGGGUGAAAGACGGUUGCUCAACAAUCGCAGUGCCUUUGAUACUGGUGUUCUUGGGUAACCUUGAGGUAGGCGGAAUGGGUGGUGUAGCGGUGAAAUGCAUAGAUACCACCCAGAACUCCGAUUGCGAAGGCAGCCUACUGGAGGUCAACCGACGCUCAGGCACGAAAGCGUGGGGAUCAAACAGGAAUUAGAUACCCGUGGUAAGU